rnacentral:rRNA from 1 species
UGGUCCUACGGGAGGCAGCAGUGAGGAAUAUUGGUCAAUGGGCGCGAGCCUGAACCAGCCAAGUCGCGUGAGGGAUGACGGUCCUACGGAUUGUAAACCUCUUUUGCCGGGGAGCAAGCGUGCGUUCGUGAACGCACGUCGAGAGUACCCGGAGAAAAAGCAUCGGCUAACUCCGUGCCAGCAGCCGCGGUAAUACGUAGGUGGCAAGCGUUAUCCGGAUUUAUUGGGCGUAAAGGGAACGCAGGCGGUCUUUUAAGUCUGAUGUGAAAGCCUUCGGCUUAACCGGAGUAGUGCAUUGGAAACUG